CCCAAAUCGGAUUCCACAAAUAAAAGAAACCCUAGAAUUUGAAAUUUAUUACGGUAAGAGAGAAAAAAAAUAGUUGGAUCUAGGAAUCGUCGAGAGGCGAUCUUCAGGUCGUCUAUUCAAAGGUCGCCGAAAUGCGCUUAUUCACCGGCAAACCGCCUUCAAUUUUCAUCCUCGCCGUUUUCCUUACCGCCCUUCUCCUCCCCAUCGCCCGAUCCGACCCUAAUCUGCUGAAGCUGCCGUCUGAUAAGCCAGAAAACGACCUCUGCCCGUUGAAUUCGGAACCGUAUAUGUGCCCCGAAAAAUGCUUCCGGCCCGACCCGGUUUGCGGGGUGGACGGCGUGACCUAUUGGUGCGGCUGCGCAGAGGCCCAUUGUGCGGGAGCGCGUGUGAAGAAAUUCGGUUAUUGUGAGGUCGGCAAUGGCGGGUCGGGCCCCGCGGGGCAGGCUCUUUUAUUGGUUCACAUCAUAUGGCUAAUAUUGCUCGGGGUAUUCGUAUUGUUUGGGCUGCUCUAAUUCCUUGUAACUUUUCUUACAUUUCAAUUGAGGAUGAUAGGAUUGCUUUGCGAAUUAUGGAUUCACAAAAAGAAAAAG